ensembl:lncRNA GJD2-DT GJD2 divergent transcript
AAGAAGUAUGUGCAACCAGACCAUCCCACCAAAGUCCUUCUAGGGCUAAUGAAUGAACUUCAAAGAACGUCUUCAAACAUCAAGUUCAUCAGUGACCAGAGGUGUACUUUUGCAACCUCUCCAGGAGCUUUGUUUUGGAUGUCUUCCUACCAUGAGUUUAGUUACCAUAGCAACAGCCAGAGAAGCUCUGCCUGGAAGAGAGAUUUCUUGUAUAAUGAGCCUGGAAGACCUUAAGGACCUCGCAGCCUUCAGUUCACUCAACCCAAGAUCUCAAGAUUUCAAAGAAACGAAGAGAUUGAAGGCUUCUGUCUCGCAAGUUAGUCACUGAUCAGGCAGAAGUGUUUGGCUCCUGCUUCCUCACAUUUGUUUUGCACACACACAAUGGUCUUGAUAUGUUUAGAGGGUAUUUGCAAUGGGAUGUGGCUGGCCCAACUGUCAGCUAACCUUCAUGUUUCUUUCAUAGCCCCCAGGAAGAAAAUUGAAGAGUUCAAAGAAUUGAAAAGUUAAGCCAAUUCAUUUAAAAUAAUCUUUGACUUUCUCAUUAUCAAUAUAUGUGUAUUUUCUGCAAGGUUACAAAAACAACUGGAACAUAUGUUAAAAUAAUCUUCAGUGUCAUCUGCAGCAACUAAUUCUAGAGAACUAUCUUAUUCAAUUUCAUUUCUUACUUAUAUGGAACUAAACCUUAAUCUGCUUUUCAGGUAUGAAAUAUAUUCAUGAUUCUGUCUCAAAAUAUGAAAUCAAAAGUUAGCAUUAUAACUCCCAGCUAACUGUCAUAUUAAUUCAUCUGGAUGAACCUUGUGGUACUGAACUUUGACAAUGCUCAGGGUGUCAAAGCAAACACCUGCCCCACCCCACGCCUACCCCAAAAACAAACGAGAGGCUUUUAUAGGUUGCAAGUCCUGGUCUGGUUUAUUUAUAAAGCAAUAAAUAUUAGAAGCACAAACAAAUUGCACGUGUGUAAACAAACUGUACAAUGAUUGAUGAAAGAUGAGGGAAGGUGGUUUGGAAGACUCCAAGAAGCAUAAUACCGUCAUCCUGACUGGAAGGUAGAUGGAGAGAGAAGGCAUCUUAGAAGCAUUUGCGGUGGACAAUGGAUGGGCCUGCCUCAUCGUACUCUUGCUUGCUAAUCCACAUUUGCUGGAAGGUGGACAGAGAGGCCAGGAUGGAGCCCCCAAUCCAGACAGAGUAUUUACGCUCAGGGGGAGCAAUAAUCUGCAGAAAGAAAACAAAAACUUCCAGUGAACUCUGAAGUUCCAAGCAAGGGAGCAAAUAACACAUUGGGAGGAUUCACAGAAAAAAACCAUUAGAUAUUAAUUCGCUAUAAUGUGGGAUAUGUCAUACCACGAAAUAAUGUGGCCAAUCAAGUUAUAUGAACUCACCUCUAUUUCAUCAUUUAUAUUAUUAAAGAUAUAUUCUAUUAUUAAAAUGGAAUUUCUCCACUUACCUAGAGUGUAAUUUGGCAAC